rnacentral:rRNA from 1 species
UGUUUCGGCUAGGGGGUCAUCCCGACUUACCAACCCGAUGCAAACUACGAAUACCGAAGAAUGUUAUCACGGGAGACACACGGCGGGUGCUAACGUCCGUCGUGAAGAGGGAAACAACCCAGACCGCCAGCUAAGGUCCCAAAGUCAUGGUUAAGUGGGAAACGAUGUGGGAAGGCACAGACAGCCAGGAUGUUGGCUUAGAAGCAGCCAUCAUUUAAAGAAAGCGUAAUAGCUCACUGGUCGAGUCGGCCUGCGCGGAAGAUGUAACGGGGCUAAACCAUGCACCGAAGCUGCGGCAGCGACACUAUGUGUUGUUGGGUAGGGGAGCGUUCUGUAAGCCUGCGAAGGUGUGCUGUGAGGCAUGCUGGAGGUAUCAGAAGUGCGAAUGCUGACAUAAGUAACGAUAAAGCGGGUGAAAAGCCCGCUCGCCGGAAGACCAAGGGUUCCUGUCCAACGUUAAUCGGGGCAGGGUGAGUCGACCCCUAAGGCGAGGCCGAAAGGCGUAGUCGAUGGGAAACAGGUUAAUAUUCCUGUACUUGGUGUUACUGCGAAGGGGGGACGGAGAAGGCUAUGUUAGCCGGGCGACGGUUGUCCCGGUUUAAGCAUGUAGGCUGGUUGUCCAGGCAAAUCCGGAUAAUCAAGGCUGAGGUGUGAUGACGAGGCACUACGGUGCUGAAGUAACAAAUGCCCUGCUUCCAGGAAAAGCCUCUAAGCAUCAGGUAACAUUAAAUCGUACCCCAAACCGACACAGGUGGUCAGGUAGAGAAUACCAAGGCGCUUGAGAGAACUCGGGUGAAGGAACUAGGCAAAAUGGUGCCGUAACUUCGGGAGAAGGCACGCUGGUGUGUAGGUGAAGUCCCUGCGGAUGGAGCUGAGACCAGUCGAAGAUACCAGCUGGCUGCAACUGUUUAUUAAAAACACAGCACUGUGCAAACACGAAAGUGGACGUAUACGGUGUGACGCCUGCCCGGUGCCGGAAGGUUAAUUGAUGGGGUUAUCCGUAAGGAGAAGCUCUUGAUCGAAGCCCCGGUAAACGGCGGCCGUAACUAUAACGGUCCUAAGGUAGCGAAAUUCCUUGUCGGGUAAGUUCCGACCUGCACGAAUGGCGUAAUGAUGGCCAGGCUGUCUCCACCCGAGACUCAGUGAAAUUGAACUCGCUGUGAAGAUGCAGUGUACCCGCGGCAAGACGGAAAGACCCCGUGAACCUUUACUAUAGCUUGACACUGAACAUUGAGCCUUGAUGUGUAGGAUAGGUGGGAGGCUUUGAAGCGUGGACGCCAGUCUGCGUGGAGCCAACCUUGAAAUACCACCCUUUAAUGUUUGAUGUUCUAACGUUGGCCCCUGACCGGGGUUGCGGACAGUGUCUGGUGGGUAGUUUGACUGGGGCGGUCUCCUCCCAAAGCGUAACGGAGGAGCACGAAGGUUAGCUAAUCCUGGUCGGACAUCAGGAGGUUAGUGCAAUGGCAUAAGCUAGCUUGACUGCGAGCGUGACGGCGCGAGCAGGUGCGAAAGCAGGUCAUAGUGAUCCGGUGGUUCUGAAUGGAAGGGCCAUCGCUCAACGGAUAAAAGGUACUCCGGGGAUAACAGGCUGAUACCGCCCAAGAGUUCAUAUCGACGGCGGUGUUUGGCACCUCGAUGUCGGCUCAUCACAUCCUGGGGCUGAAGUAGGUCCCAAGGGUAUGGCUGUUCGCCAUUUAAAGUGGUACGCGAGCUGGGUUUAGAACGUCGUGAGACAGUUCGGUCCCUAUCUGCCGUGGGCGCUGGAGAAUUGAGGGGGGCUGCUCCUAGUACGAGAGGACCGGAGUGGACGCAUCACUGGUGUUCGGGUUGUCAUGCCAAUGGCACUGCCCGGUAGCUAAAUGCGGAAGAGAUAAGUGCUGAAAGCAUCUAAGCACGAAACUUGCCCCGAGAUGAGUUCUCCCUGAGACUU